AUUGACCUGAGUGGGGUCUCCCUCCUCGACUCCCCUCCGGCGCCAUUGCCUGCUGAUUCUCCAACUGCCUCCCUACCCCUUGCGGACGUGCCCGGCGUUCCCGACCCAGGGGUUCCUCCAAGCUGACCCUCUGUACCUUUCUUUGUCCUUUUCUUUGUAUGUUGGCGUUUUGCCAAGUUGUAUGGGUCUCGGCCCUGAAACAAUGAAAGUUAAUGUAAAUAGAGUGUUUCUUCAUUUCACUUUCGUCCUUCCUCUUUUUAACU
rnacentral:lncRNA from 1 species